UACCCCACCCCCUUGUCAAAUUCGUUUUCAUUGUUUCGUAUUUAAUAUAUACAAAUAUUUUUAUACUUGCGUAACGAAGGUCCGAGAGAUCCCUAUCUCUGUCCAACCACUAAUGAUAUUGUCCAUUCUGGGUCCAGUCCAGCACGAUUUUAAAACACUUCACUAGGGAGUAAGACUUUCUUACUUAUAUGCCCAGCAUCCCUCCUGUGUUUUGCCGAUGUGAGACUCCUUCCUAAGUUGAGGUGUUACAAUACACAAAAGAUGUAUUCAAACUUCAUACUUGUAGUUGAUGGUCACGUUCCAAAACACCAAAAGAAAAUGAAAUUUGUUACUAUACAAAAAAGAAUCUGGUUACAUUUAUUUUGAUCUGCUCUUGCAUGAUUUUGUUAAAAUUUUCAUGAAUUUAACAACUUGAUAUAUUUACAUGACGUAGUUUGUGACAAAUUACCAGGAAAAAAAUUAUUUUAUUAAUAAUUAUUGAGAAAUUCAACAUUUAUAAUAAUUAAGAAUAUUUUAGUAAACUUACUAGUUACGAUACAGUACCAUACCAUCAUAUCAAACAGUAAAACUGUUAUUAAACAACAGUAAAUGAUACAAUCCAACCAAAUAUUGUAUUACUCCCUCCGUCCCAAAUUAUGUGUCGUCAUUUGACCGGACACAAUAUUUAAGAAAUAAGUAUUGACUUUGUUAAUGUUACAAAAUUACCCUUCUUAAAGAAAGGAGUUAUAAUAUUUAAAAUCAAGUGGGAGCAUUUUUAAUUGAAAAGAUAAAUAAAAAAAGGAGUAAUAGUAUUUAAAAUCAAGUGGGACCACUAAGGGUAAAAUUAUAAUUGUGUCUUUAAAAACUUACCAAAUAAGGAAAGGCGACAUUCUUUUUGGGACGGACCAAAAAGAAAAUGGCGGCACAUAAUUUGAGACAGAGGGAGUAUAAUAUAUUGUAUAGUACAAUACCAUACCAUACAGUACCGUACAUUAUGAGACCAUGAUAAAUCACCAUCCAAAUAAAGUGUUCGGCUCCUAAAUUCGAGAAGCCUAUUUUUUUCACAAUAACAAAUUAUAUGUUAUAAAUGUACCAUAUAUAUAGUGAAUGUCUACUUUACCAUAUAUAGUAAAUAUUUAUUUUACCAUAUAUUAUGAAUGUCAGUUUAUGGAAAAGUUACAAACCCAAGUUUAGUUUUUUCCCUAUAAAUUAAGGGUUUUCAUUCAUCAAAUACUCUUUGUGUUCUCUCUACUCUUCUUCUUUAUUCUUUAUUAGUUUAUAACAUGUUAUCAGCAUGAGGCUCUACCAUUUAAACAUACGAAAUCUAAGGUGAAAUUCUUAGAGUACAAGGUAAGUACGCUACGUUAAAAAUUAUCUGAGUUUGAGCUUCUAUUAAAGAAUUACAUAACCAAUUUUACUCUAAGAAAUUAGUUGAUAUUGUGUUUACUGUUGGAAUUAUUUGGUUAUCGAAAAAUAGGUUAUUUGGUUGCUUUUAAUUUACCUUCCUACGGUGAUAACUUUUCUUAAAAGACAUAUAUAUAUAUAUAUAUAUAUAUAUAUAUAUAUAUAUCCUUGUUUGUUGAACAUAGUAACUAUCCUAACAAAGUGGGAUUAUGCCACAAACGAUAUAUAUAGAUUCUCAAUUUUACUAUGCACCUAUUUAUAUUUGUUUGAUUUAAAGGUGAAAUUACAAAUCUAAAGCUAAUGUCAAGGUUGGCAAAUUCUUGUUUAUCUGUCUUUUGCUACUAAUAAUAUAAUUAUGUUGGACUUGAAGAAAAAUAAUUGGUUUGGAACCAUUUAUGUUUUAAAUUUAUUCCUCAAGCACAAUAUUAUCAAAAGGGAUAAUAUAAUUAUUAUUGGAUUUGAGGAAAAAUAAUUGAUUUGGAAGCAUUUAUGUUUUAAAUUUAUUCCUCAAGAACAAUAUUAUCAAAAAGAAUAAUAAUAUUUUGGGUUCAAGUCCCGUCGAUUUAUGCCUAAGACACCUUUAUAUGGAUAAGACGUUGAUGAGUUUGAAUCUCAACGCAAUGAUAUUGUGAUGACUAAUACAAAAUAACGGGUAUUUGGUGAAACAUGACCCAUUAAAUAUGUUUCAUUUCUUGAAUUGAAUGUGAUAACAAUAAAUUAUAUGUAUGCCUUAAUUUGCAGUUGUAGUAGCCACUUUCAUUGACUAACCUUGGGUAAGGGGUGAUUAUCAUAUUUCAAAAAGUAUGAUAGAUAAUCACCCUCACUAACCACUUCGCAUCUCAAAAAAUUUAAAAGAUAAACAAAUUUAAUGCAUCCGUUUAAUUUUCACCUUAAGCCAUCAAAAUACUUGAGCCGCUUUUGAGUGUAACCACAAAUAUAAUUCAUGUUACAAUUACAAAUUUAACUCAAUGAAACCUUUGUUUUUCAGCAUUUAUUUUUGGCUGUAACUAGUUUAAGAUGGUUCAUAACAAGCAAAGUCAAUGUUUUAUCUUGAAAAAACCUAGAGUUAAUACAUAAAAAUUACCCUAAACUUGACACCAAAUAAUAACUUUGACCUUAAACUUUGAUAGUGCACAAAUAGGACCUUUAACUAUUCAAAACCUGAAAAAAUAUGGCCUUCGAUUUUGCAACCCCAUGCGUGAGUCUCACUCGUGCCUACGUGGAAAGGUAAUCCAAUCACACGGUGCCAUGUCGUUAAAAGGGCUGACUUGGAGAGAGGUCAUAUUUGUGCAGUUUUGAAUAGUUAAAGGUCAUAUUUGUGCACUGUCAAAGUUUUGCUUUUUGUGUUAAAACGACGUCGUUUUUUUUUAUUAUUAUUAUUGUUAUUAUUAUUAUUAUUAUAAUUUAUUUAUUUAUUUCUAUAGUAGCAGCACCUAACUUUUUUUUANNNNNNNNNNNNNNNNNNNNNNNNNNNNNNNNNNNNNNNNNNNNNNNNNNNNNNNNNNNNNNNNNNNNNNNNNNNNNNNNNNNNNNNNNNNNNNNNNNNNNNNNNNNNNNNNNNNNNNNNNNNNNNNNNNNNNNNNNNNNNNNNNNNNNNNNNNNNNNNNNNNNNNNNNNNNNNNNNNNNNNNNNNNNNNNNNNNNNNNNNNNNNNNNNNNNNNNNNNNNNNNNNNNNNNNNNNNNNNNNNNNNNNNNNNNNNNNNNNNNNNNNNNNNNNNNNNNNNNNNNNNNNNNNNNNNNNNNNNNNNNNNNNNNNNNNNNNNNNNNNNNNNNNNNNNNNNNNNNNNNNUUUUUUUUAUUAGUAUAGUUUCAUCUUUAAUUUAAUAUUUAAAUAAAUAAUAUUUAGAUAUAUUCUAUAACUUAAAUUCGUCCUCUACUUUAUAAUAUAUAUACAUACCCGCUCGAAUUUUUCAUAUGAGGUUGACCCGCCUAAUUAAUAAAUCUUCAAUAUCGCUCUUUUUUCGCAAUGACAAAAGAAAUUAGAUGCCAUUUUCAUCUUUGAGCCGAAAAUAAUGAAAAAAUAAUAGUGAAGAGUCAUUUAAAGGUCAUAUUUGUGCAGUUUUGAAUAGUUAAAGGUCAUAUUUGUGCACUGUCAAAGUUUAAGGUUAUAUUUAUGUAUUAUGCCCUUAGAUUUUAAGCUUGACGUGCCCAGUUUUGCGUGUUGAACACGCGUUUUGCCACGUAGGAUUGGAGGUCAUAUUUGUGCAGUUUUGAAUAGUUAAAUGUCAUUUUGUGCACUGUCAAAGUUUAAGGUCAAAGUUAUAAUUUGGUGUCAAGUUUAGGAUCAUUUUUAUGUAUUAACUCAAAAAACUAACGCAAGAAACUUUUAGAAGCACAUGCACAUUUCAACUAGAAGUGAAAAUAUAUGAGUAAGUUUAUCUGCAAGCUGCUGAUAAGCCUGGGUCUGAGGUGUUGCUUCAUCAAGCUCAGUCUGUUUUUUUUUUAUCUGUAAUAUCUUGAAUUAGUUGUGAUAGCUUCACUCUAAGCAGGAGUAAACUUUACUCGAUAAAAGAUUAUGUAAUAUUUGUUUCUUUCCCUGUUAAUGUCCGUCAACUUAUAUGUUAGUGAUAAGACUGUUAAUGUCUGUCAACUUAUAUGUUAGUGAUAAGAUUUGGCAAAUCACUAAUGAGAGGCAUCUCAAUAAAAUUAGUGAUUUAAAAUCAAAUUUUAAUAAGACACCUUAAAUAUAUAUAUACAUACCCACACAUCCUGCAUAUUAGUCAUUUUUGGUACAUAAUAUUUUUAAAAGACACACAACUUUUAACUUCACAUAUUAAUAUGAUUUUUGGAUAUUGUUAACACUUUAUUUAUAAAUGCGAAGUUUGGAUUGUUUAAUUUAAAAUUUAAAAUUAUUCCUGGUAACAAUUAAUUUUUUUCUUUUUUAUUUCUUUUAGAUAAUUUUUUAAAUGUAUUUCAAAAUCUUCAUUAUUAUUUUAAGUGAAGUUGAAAUUAUAAAAUUUACUAUUAAUAUUUUUGAUGCCUCAAAAUUUAGGAGGCCUAAAUCACACACUUUACCAGUCUUACCCUUUAAUCAUCCCUGUCACCAAUUUAAGAGAAUUCAAGUAAUAUGUGCCACUCGAUGAGGUCAACCCCCAAUCUGACCCCACCUCUGCGAAACAUGGGCGGAGCCAUAGCCAAUCAAGGUAGUGCAAAUGAACACUCUUAAUCGGAAAAUUAUAUGAGACAUAUAGAUCAAAAACUAUUGAACAUGCAGUGGCGAAUCCAGGAUUUAAGAAUAGUGGGUGCUUAAAAAUUUAAAAACUGAAAAAAAUAAAAAUUCACUUCAAUGAGGUUUGAACCAAGCGCAUUCCUUCUAGUGCAGAACCUUAAAGUCAACCUAGAUACCAAUGCACCCAACCAACUUUUUGUUUAGUGGAGAUGUUUUUAUAUAGUAUAUAUCUAUUUUCAUAUAUUUUCUAUGUAAUUUUACCUAUUCCGCGUCAAGUUUAGUAGAUGGCGGAGCACUCCACAAAUGAAUAUAGGUUCGCCCCUGUAAACAUGAACAUGUGCAUUGUGUUGCACACCCUUGAUAUCGUGCUGAGGUUUUGGCGCAACGAAAAAUAGCUUUUGGAUGUGGGGUAUAAGGUCGAGGGUUCUAAUCUCUUAUUGCUUUUUCUAUCUCUCGUUUGUUUGCAAUCUCACGGUCAUGGGUCCAGCGUCCUCACUAGCUAUGUCUACGCUUCUUUGUAUAUUCUUUUUGUUGAAUUCUUCGAACUACUUUUCCUAUCAAAGUUAUUCGAACACCUUUUCUAUCAAAGUUAUAGUAUUUUACUUUCUUAUUUAGAAUUCAUUAGAAGUAGUAAAUGUUGGGUUAUUAAAAGGUAUGAAUGAAAAAUGAAAAGGUGAUUUUUUUCAGAAAGACACUAAGAGAAAUGUAACGCCCCAAAAUCUAGUUCUCGGGACGCCACACGGUGCUCCAAACUAUGAGUAGUCCUGAGCUAACCCUGGCUGCUUCCUUCUAACUCUGAAUCUCAAAGUAAGGAAAUAUAAUUAUAAAAUCAUAAUAACUGCGGAAUAUUUAUCUAAAACAUAUCAAUCUCUCAAGUCUUAGUAAAGCAAUACUGAAAAGAAAAUCUGAAUGCUGACUCAUAGUCUAAAACUGAAACUUGUAGUUCGACAAGCCUCUAAUGACUGAAUCUAGAGAGCCACUGGGACAGGCCCCAGCUGACUCAAAAUGUCUGAAAUGAAUAAUGAAAAAAAAAUCUACUAAUGAAACUAGAAAUCUGAAUACUAAGUCCCUGAACUAUGAGGACUCACCAGCUGCAGGGAUGUAGAUGAGGUACUCGAAAAUCACUCACGCUAUCGAGACUGAGCACCUGAACCUACAUUAUGAGACAAUGUAGCACAUAGACAUAUAUGUGGUUCAGUACUUUGAGGAUGUACUGAGUAUAUGGGGUGUAUGCAACAAGUAAACAAUAUCAUCUAAGUUUAUAAAACAAUGCAUGCUAAAUGUAAAUGACUCACAUAGGCUUGAGAUAUCUGAAAUCUGAAAGUAUAAAGCAUGAAUAGCAAAACAUGCAAUCUAAUUCUUGUGAAUCAUAACACUUAGUCUCUAAAAGCUUUUCUGUUCGAGAAUCUGUAGUCUAUAAGCUUUAAAACUUUAAGGAAAAUACUAUAUCUAAAAAGUUAUUCAUUAUUUUAUACUAGCAGGGAGGUUCUCUUAACUGACAUAAAACAUGCGAGUUACAUGGAGUCCAACGUCUCAUCCUCCUAAGGAGGAAACCUCACGUUGGGGAGAGGUGUCAUACUCUUGCCAGGGAGUAUAACCUCAGCUUAAGUGAUCACUAUCUCUGCCUCCGUGGGCACUUUAAUCUCAAUCCUACGGUGGCACGUAGUUCUGGGAUAUGAAACCUUGGAAACAUACUCAACCCGGUGCUAAAUACUACCCCCUUUUAUUUGCUACGCUUAUCUCAUUGAAAAUCAACUUUUAAAAAUAAUCUUAUGGUUUAUAAUGUAAACCAACUAUAUAUAUCUGUAAUCUGAAGUAAACUCUGAAAAGUGGAUUUCAAAACUCAACUGGGGAUCCGAAGAUCAAGUACUUUUUAUUUAACUCAAAAUAUACUAAUCUCAGGGUGCUCAAAGCACAAGUUCUUGAAAUAUAAAUUCUCAAAUUAGGGUCUAAUAACCCAUGUCUCCAAAUCAUGAAAUUUCAUAGUAAAUCAUCAUGCUCAACAGAUUUUCUUGAAAACACUUCAACCAUAUCAAAAUACUAAAAUCAAGAAUCACAAAUAUAUGCUUAAACUCAAUCGAAAAUCCAAAAUCAAUAUCUCAUAACAUAUUCGUGGUAUUCAAAAUCAUAAAGAGGCAUUCUUUAACUCAAAACAAAUGUGGAAUUUUGUAAUUCAAUAAUAUCAUGCUCAAAAUCAUCAAUAAGAUACUUUUGGAUAUAAACCCAAUCUCAAACAUAAGAAAUUUGCUUUAAAACAUAAUUUUGGGCACAAGGACUGUUGACACCUAAUUUUUGUCCUCCGCAAUCCAAUUUAAUUUUGAGUUUCUUCAAUUUUAAAAUAAAAUCACAACAAUUAUUUUGUUCAAAUAAAUGCUAGUUUAAAUUACUUAUUCAAUUCAACUUUAUGAUUUAAUUAAUGAUUAUACGUUUUUCACAUUUUUAUACGAGAGUGUAUAAAUUUUGUUAUUUAAAUUGAACGUUUUCAUUAAAAUUAGAUUUUUAUUGAUUAAACUUGAAAAUUAAUUCAAAUGGAUAAAAUCUUGGUUUUAAAUAUGAUUUGCUCUCAAAGUAUUUUAUUUGGAAUAAUAUUUAUUGGAUUUUUACUAAAUCAAGAAGCUCGAGAUCAAACAAGGUAUUAAUUCGUAUCGAAUUUUGAUUCAAUUUAGUCAAAUUAUUAAAUUUGAUCCUAAUUAAAAUUAAUUGAUCAUAUUUUCAAUAUAAUGUGACCAAUCUAAUUUUUAAUUGGAUUGAAAUAUUGAUUAAUUUUGGCCAAAUCCUAAAUUUUUAAUGGGGGGUUAUAUUUUUAAUAACCCUUAAAUUCUUAACAAUUCCAACCAAACCAACCUAUUUUAUUUCAACAAUGCAACAGCUCAAUCCAAAUCAAUUGCAACCCGGCCCAACACCUAUAUUCAUUAUCCUCUUCUCAACAAACACUCCAAUCUUAGCCUCAAACACACAAACAACAACAUCGAUCAACGACAAAAACUAUCUCUAAUCCAUGAGCGACCCGAAAUCGACCCGAAUCCGUCAACCACCAACCAACCCGUUCUUCUUCUCUUCGUCACGCGCCUCACGCAUCAGUUGGAUGAGAAAAAAACCCUUGAAUCUUCUAGAAACGAGGUUAGGUAUCACCUCCAACAUCCAAAUCCCGUGAAUCUCGGGUUUAUUGUUACGAUUUCGUACGCAUAUGACUGGUUUCCAUUGGUUUUGGGGGAAAAUUCAUUUUACCCAAAUGGGAUUGGUCCACGAAUUGUAAAGGCCUCUCAAGAAAUGCCGAAAGGGGUACUGUCUAUUGGGGUUAGUGGGGAUUCGAAUGAAACUUUGAAUUUUUCCCCUUUUAAAAUCUCUAGAAUACCCCCGAAUUGGGGCCCUAUAUAAAGACCCAUCGGGUCACUGUUUUGGGGAUUGGGGGGUUUUUCGGUUCGAGGGUUCUUUCUAGGAAGGGAUUUCUUUUGGGUGCAAAAACCAGAAAUUGGGGUUUCUUUUGGGAGCUACUAUUUUGGGGAUUCAAAGUUUUGGGUCCGGGAAAUAGGGGAUUCUCUCGUUUAGGCUCUGAAAAUUAUGGAGGUUCGAAAGUGUUGGUUGGAGAUUCUUGAUUUGAGGUUUUACAGAACCAUUGAGAGUUAAAGGGGUUAUAGAAGGGACUCUCAAGAAGAACACCCUUUUCAUACCAAAUAUACACGUUCUUAAGGGUUUUAGGGUCUGAGAUCGUCCAAACUGUUGCGAAGUUUCCAUUUUCGGUGGUGGUGAAAUCUUGACAAGAGCUCGGGUCCCGUUUGCUGCAUCGAGACAGGUAACAAUUCAUCCCAGUUAAUUUUUUGACUAUGUUCACUUCAUCUCAACCUUCUGUUAGUUGCAAAUAUUAAUGAUCUGGUAUGCUGGGUGUUUGCUGAUAGAUGAUUUUGAUAGUCGUAGGUUUGUUUUGGUAGAUUUCCGUUUUAAUACUCUCACUUUCACGAACUGCGUAAGGUCUCUAUAGCUGUUCUCGUGUUGAAGUUCUAUUUUUGUUUUAGCCUUUUGGAUUGAUGGUUUUUUUUAUGGUGAAUUUCACAAUCGAAAGAUCCAUUUUUUAUCAUUUUCGGGCAAAUGAGGUCCUGUUUAGCUGACCUCGGGUUAAAAUUGCAUGGUCUUCGAUUCUGUUUUGAGUUGCUAGUACCUUGUUAAGUUUUGGUUUCAUCGUUUAAAGUUUUAUGCUUUCAAUUUUGUUUUGAACUACUGGUAUCAUGUUAAGGCUAGUUUUCAUGGAUAAGUGUGAUUUUGUUUGUCUAUUUUGGGAGGCUUGUUUGUCAUGGUUGACUUCAUAGCUUAAAGUUGCGAGCUCUGAUCUUCAUGGGUCGAUGGCACCCUGUUCUAGCUGGUCUUGUCAUCAAGUUCCAUGUUUUUAUUAUUGUUUGAUAGUUUUUGGGCUGAUGACAUUGUAUUUGUUGUUAAUAGUCGAUGUCCUUUAGUUUGAACCAAAAUGACGCUCGUUUGUCGAUUAAACAUGUGUUGGAUUCAGACAUAUUGAUAGUCCGCUAAAACUUUUAGACUUACAUCCCGUUCAGAAGUAGAUGUCUGUUUCUUAUCAAUUUUGACCAGCCUUUCCAUGGGUGGUGCGUCCAUCGAUUUUCUUCGAUUCCCAAUAUCGGUAGAGUGUUAAUGGCUCGAAAAGGGAAAAUAAUUCUUUUAUGAAAAUCAAACUGAUGUGUUCAAAGGUUCUUGUUUGUCUGCCCCCGUUAAUUCAGGUCACAAAUUCUCCUUACACGGAUAUGUCUUUGCCAAGGAGACUCUGAUAUGGUCUUGAGAUCAUCCUCGCAAAGUAUCAGUUCGUAAUUCCUUUUCUUUUGUUUAUAUUGUUGAAGCUAUGGUCACAUCUCUGAAAUUUAUGCUAAAAAAUUCAAUUUGUUUCUCUUUGAGAUGGACAUCUAGUGGAAGCUUUUCUUUCCUUUCCCAUUCAGAAGGAGUUUGGGUAAAUGAACGAUUUUUUUUGGUGUCCAGUUGUUUACCUCUGUAUCUACUUUGACGGUUCUCAGCUUUAACACCUCUGCGUAAGGGAUAGUUUAAGUAUAAACAUGACAUCAUUUCACUUCUGAGUUCGAUUGAAAGUACAAAUGAAUAGGACUCUUCUUUAACACUUAUCCUUAGUUCAAUCGGUGAUCCGACUUUGGCCAAAUUUUUUGUCUUGAAGGUGAUUGAACUUGUUUGGGCUAAAAGUGAUUGUGAAUAAGUUUUUAUUUUAUUUUAUUUUAUUUCUAUUUGUUUUCCUUUAAUUUACAAAACCGAUGAUUAAUCCUUAUUAUUUCUUUUGAUUCAUAUGACGUGGAUGCGGGACAACGUGUUCGAACCUUAAAUGGGUUCCCUCCCUGUUGCAUUUCAUAACGGGCCAGUGAGGCCUACCUAUUCUAGUUGAUAUUUUCGAAGAAAGGAGUCAAAAAGGAGAAAAGAAGGGAUUAAAGUCUCACAUUUGAAGCGGCUACGAGACCUCAAAAAUCUCUUCUGUUAUUUUGUUUACUUAUUUCUUGUCGUCUUUAUUUAGCUAUUUAUUUCUUACUUAUUCAUUCGGGCCUCAAAGUCAAAGUUGUAUUUAAUACAGGUGAAGUGAAAAUUCAAGACGAAAAGGGCUCGAAAACUAGAUUAGGACAGGUGCAAGACUAGGACAGGUCUCAUCGAUUUGGGCCCAAUGGCCUAAAUCCCUUACUAUAAUAUGACUAUCCUAUGGACCACUCUUGUUCAGUGGAUUAUUUCUGAAUCAAGGGUGUUCUAUUUUGGUGGUAAUAAUGGAACAAUUUUGUUCGUAGGAAUAAAGAGAAGCAGAUUUAUUCUAUACUCGAUAAGUACCAAUACGCAAUGGGGGAGUUGAUCUCAUUUUCUAUGAGCGAAUGAGUCAUACUUAUCAUUAGAAAUACCUAUUCGUAAUAAUUUGAGUUUAUUCAUUCUGUCUGUCUUUAUGAAUUUUUAGAAUCUAUGGAUAAAAUAAAUACGAUAAGAACCAAUAUGAGUAUUCUAAAGACAAUAAAAAAAUUGUUACGUUUCCACCUCAAAGUGAAAUAUAGUAUUUAGUUCUUUCUUUCAUUUAAUGCCUAUUGGUGUUCCGAAAGUUCCCUUUCGAGGUCCUGGAGAGGCAAAUCCACUUUGGGUUGACGUAUAGUGCGACUUGUCAGAUAUAUUGGGUCAUAUGGUAUUUCCCCGUUCUCUCCCCCGAUCGAGAUAUCCCCCGUUUCGCCCAAGAACGAUAAAACGAUAAAUUGAAUCAUCAAAAAUUUGGAGCGUGAAGUGCAAUUAGAUCCAUUUUUGAGGGGAUUCAUAUUACUAUUAUCAAUUAGAAUAAUUUAUGGUUGGCUUGGUUGGACUAAAAAAAUGAAGUAUCCAGGCUCCGUUUAGAAAAAACCCAAUUGGAUUGGUAAGAUAUCUAUGAUUGCUAUUCAUAUUUUUUCUUUGUAAUUUGUAAAGAGAUCCUAAUUGUCAAGCAAAGUUAUCUCAACUCUAAUAAAUACUUGUAUAAAAUGAAUUGAAAAAAAAAAAAGAAAUACAAAAAGAAAUGGUAAUGGGAGCAUUUGUCCUAUAUGUACAAAUCCAAAUCGGGCGGAUCUUUACCCGGAGUAGAGCAUAAACCUAAAAAGAUGAAACAGACCCAUUCAAGAACAAGAAAAUACCAUCACGGUUUGGAUUAAAUCUCGAUGAAAGAAUACACCAAUGAGAAGUUAAUUCUAUAAGUUUAAUGACCCUUUCUUGUAACUUCUAAUUUUAUACUGGAAAAUAGAAAAUAGAAAUAUAAAAAAGGAGUCAAAACUCCUCUUUAUUGAAAAAUCGAAGAAAAUCCCUUUCGUUAGAAGUAAGAAAGAACCUUUCUAGAAAAAAAGAAAGAGGACUGGAAUCUAUACAUUGAUUCACAAUUUUUUUGAACCGUAUGCAUCAAAAGGUGCAUGUACGGUUCCUAAGGAAUACAAUUUUACCCUAAUCAACCGACUUUAUCGAGAAAGAUUACUUUUUUUAGGCCAAGGUAUUAAUAGCGAGAUUUCAAAUCAACUUAUUGGUCUUAUGGUAUAUCUUAGUAUCGAGAAUGAGACCAAAGAGCUGUAUUUGCUUAUAAACUCUCCUGGGGGCUGGGUAAUACCUGGGGUGGCUAUUUAUGAUACUAUGCAAUUUGUGCGACCAGAUGUCAAUACAGUAUGCAUGGGAUUAGCCUCUUCAAUGGGAUUUUUUAUCCUGGUCGGAGGAGAAAUUACCAAACGUCUAGCAUUCCCUCACGCUUGGUGCCAAUGAGGUUUUUAUUUGAGAGAAAAAAGAAGACUAUGCCUUCGCCAUAUGAAUACUAAGUAAUAAUAGCAUGGCACUUCGAAUUCGAUAUGAGAAAUUUUUGUAUUAUUUUUUUUUUUCAAAACAUUAGAUUUUGUAUCGAGAGAGUAGUAUGAGAUAAGAGGUAUUUCCGAUUUUCUCUUAUCUAUCGGGAGUUCGGUUCAGCUUCACAAACUUUUUGUUUUCAUACAGUAGAGUUCUUAAGAAUAUUUAUGUUAUGAAAGAGUAUGAAAAAAAAUUAUUUUUUCCUUAUUUGAUCGGAUUAAAAAGAAACUUUGAGAUUGCUGAAUCACAGACAAAAAAAAAGAUAAAAGAAACAUAUAAAGCAACAGAGCCAUCGUAGUAUUUUUUAACUCCUCCGAAAGGAAGGAUGACAAUUUGAUUAUUUGCCCAUUGGAGUCUGAUAGAUUCUAUUUUUCUCUUUCUUCAAUAGAAAGGAGGGGGGUCCAUUUUCUUUUAGAGCCGUAUGCACAAAAGAUGCCUGUACGGUUGUUCAAUUCUAUCUUUUUUCUAUUUUUUAUCUUUUUUUCUCUUUCUUCAAUAGAAAGGAGGGGGGUCAAUUUUCUUUUAGAGCCGUAUGCACAAAAGAUGCCUGUACGGUUGUUCAAUUCUAUCUUUUUUCUAUUCUUUAUCUUUCUUUUCUCUUUGCUUUAUCAUGCGAGAUAGGAGAAGCUUUUAUUUUGUUAUAUCAUCAGGGUAAUGAUGCAUCAACCUGCUAGUGGUUUUUAUAUGGCACAAGUAACCGAAUGUGUCGUGGAAGCGGAAGAACUGCUGAAACUGCGUGAAACCCUCACAGGGGUUUAUGUACAACGAACGGGCAAACCCUUCUGGGUUGUAUCCGAAGAUAUGGAAAGAGAUGUUUUUAUGUCAGCAACAGAAGCACAAGCUUAUGGAAUUGUUGAUCUUGUAGCGAUUCAAUGAAAAUAACAUGGAUUUCGCGCAAAUCACAGAUUUGCGAUUUUAUCUUCGAAUUGAAUAUUCUAUUAAAUUGAAUAUUCUAUUAAAUAGAAGUAAUUCAUCAUCAUUCGGUUAGGAUCAAUCUAAACCAACCCAUCAUAUUAUGUAUACGAUUCAACAUGCCAACUAUUAAACAACUUAUUAGAAAUACAAGACAGCCAAUCAGAAAUGUCACGAAAUCCCCCGCUCUUCGGGGGUGCCCUCAGCGUCGAGGAACAUGUACUAGGGUGUAUGUGCGACUCGUUUAGAUCAUGAGCUGGCACAAAAGAAAGAAAACGACUUUUACAGUAUCAAUGAUCAGUACCGGUGAAUGGGAUAGGAUGGAAAAAGGAACUCCAUUCAUUAUUAAAAAAAAACUCUAUCAUAUCCCUCUAUUGUGUAUGAAGUUUAUGGUUUCCGUUGGUGUAAAUCCAAUCACCUGAAUUUAAGAUGAUAAGAAAUUCUCCAUUGGUAACAAAUGGUUAUCCAUUAAGCGGAGGAAAUCUUAUUUUAAAAGCAUAAAACAUAAAGAUUAGUUAGGCUCCCAAUCUGGCAAGAACGGACUAAGAGGGUCAGCUACCCAGCAAACUUUCAUAAUUAAAUACCGUUACUGUAUAGGUAGAUCUGAUUGUGAAAGACCUAUUACUGGAUAAUUCAUGGGUAGAGCCAAAGCGUGUGAACUAUACAAGUUCCCAAUAACAUCAAUUAGUUGAUUAAAUAUAUAUUAAAUUAAAGUCUAAAGUAAAGGCUCCGGUGUAUAGAGAAGACCUCACCGUUUAAGAAGUAACCAUAGAAACGAAGGAACCCACUAUUUCUUUUUUUAUUUCUUUUAUUUACUAUAUUUUUGAUACCUAGGAAAAUACAAUUUCUUAUUUCUUUCUUAUUUCGCAGUGAAAUACCUAAAAAAAAAAAAAAUAACAAAAUCGUGGUCGGGAAGGUUAGAGUAGCCAAAGCCAUUGGAAUUUUUAUUUUAUACAUUGGAAAAAUCCGUUUUGUUAUUAAUAGACUAGGAAGGGGGAAAAGAAUAACUGAAAGAAAGGUAAUCAAUUAGUUAUUCGUCAAAGUUUCAUUUAUUCAAUGACCAGAAUUAAACGGGGAUAUAUAGCUCGGAGACGUAGAACAAAAAUUCGUUUAUUUGCAUCAAGCUUUCGAGGGGCUCAUUCAAGGCUUACUAGAACUAUUACUCAACAGAAAAUAAGAGCUUUAGUUUCGGCUGAUCGGGAUAGGGGUAGGAAAAAGAGAGAUUUUCGUCGUUUGUGGAUCACUCGGAUAAACGCAGCAAUUCGCAAAGGGGGAGUCUCCCAUAGUUAUAGUAAAUUAAUACACAAUCUGUACAAUAGACGGUUGCUUCUUAACCGUAAAAUACUUGCACAAAUAGCUAUAUCAAAUAGGAAUUGUCUUUAUAUGAUUUUGAACAAAAUCAACCCGGAGUCUUUACCGGAGUCUUUACCGGAGGCUUUACCGGAGGCUUUAAAAACUCCCCAGGCUCUCCUGAGAAUAAAUGGAGGUUUCUUCUACCGGACGAGUUAGAAAUUAGUAUGAGAAAAUAUGCUAAAGUAGUCAAAAUGAAUGAACACGUUCAAUUCAAUAAAAACAGAUUUCGUUUUUUCCGAUUCAUUUGUUUCUUACGACACGAUACUCAAAUCUAGAUUUGAGUGAAUCUAGAUUUGAGUAAUUAUGAUUCAAGUAAAGAAAAGGUAAGCCUAUUUAUUUCGGGCUUUAAAACCAGUAGUUCUAGCGGUCGACUCGGUUCUUUCAAAUUGUUUCUCAUUAUUGAGAAAAGGUAACAAAGAUAAAAUACGGGCUUGUUUUAUAGCAAGAGUAAUUAAUCGUUGUUGUUUCAAGGUCAAUCUAUUCACGCGUCUUGAUAAUAUUUUUCCUUGUUCACUAAUAAAUCGACUAAUUAAACUCAUGUUUCUAUAAUCAAUUCGAUCCCCCGAUUGAAUCGGGGGCAAACGCCUACGAAAAGAUCGCUUGAAUUUAAGAAAAGGUCGCUUGGAUUUAUCCAUGGUUUGUUUGUUUAAUUUAUUCCUUAUCCCUAAAAUCCUAUUUCUUAAUUCUAAUUCAUUUUAAAUCCACCCAAAAUAAAAUAGGAUUUUAGAAAAAUAGGAUUUGUUUAGUUUCUAUUUAAAUAUGUUAUAUAUAAUGUCAUUUUUUCCCCUUCCUUGAAAGGGUAAGGCACAGGUACUUGGUUCGCUCUAUUUUUUUAUCUCCCCAUGAAUCGUAUGUUUGUAACA
rnacentral:lncRNA from 1 species